rnacentral:lncRNA from 1 species
UGUCUGGUUAACUCAAUUCUCCUCCACAUCUUUAGUUAGCAUUUUCAAACGAUUUCUAAGUUUAUGUUUUGCACCUGCAUGUAAAUCACACUGUUAUUCACCUGAACAACUUCUUUUGGAUAGCUUCCCAGAUUGGAGCCAUUUAUAUACAAAAUUGCCUUUUUGGCAGGAGAAGUUCUAAGUGAAGUAAAUAGUCUUGAUUGGUUGGUACAUAAAACCCACAAAUGUACAGUUAGGAAAGGAAGAGUUGGUACUGUAACUGUCCAAAAAUCAGUGCUUGGCAUUUGCAGAAUGAAGUAUUUUUAUUGGAUUUCUCUAUCCUAAGAGGGAGACAAGAUUGUAGUUUUCAUUUGGUCAAUGAAAUGAAUCCAACCCUUGUAAUUUUCCAUUCACUAUGAGAUUUUUGUUGCCAGAAUGCCCUGAGAGUGGUACUCCAAAUUGAUUUGUAUUCCUGCAGCUGAGCCUCACCAAGCUUUAGGUACAAAACAAGUCCUUACUGCCUCUACUUUCAAUUUCUGUAUUUGAAUAUGAUGAAGCUUCUGUUUAUCCAGGAUAAGUGAAAAAGAUUGUACAAAUGGUUAGGCUACCAGAGAAGAGUAUUCACGUGUGACACAUUGUAGUUAAGAAUAAAGACUUCAAAUUGCAUGCACUCAAAUUCUUGCUCAAAAGGCAGUCAUGUGUUCAAGAGCAGUUUAUGUGAUCUCAGUAGAAUUCAGGGUCUUCAUCCUUUAUAACAAGCAAAAAUACAGAAUAUCCUAAUAGAGUAUGUAUGUGGGGUCAAAUGAGGCAAAAAUAGAAAAGGUUAAUAAAUUAUAAAAACAUUUGUUUCUAUUGGUGAUCAUAGCAGUAUUUGCAUGUUAAGAUUAAUGUUUUUUAUAUUCACAUAAAUCUUUUGAAGUUAAUAUUAUAGGUUUUAUUUUACGUUAUAAAGAAACUAGAAUUCAGGAAGUUCCCUCUGGGCACAGUGAGUUAAGAAUCUGUCAUUGUCACAGCUGUGGUGCAGAUCGCAACAGUGAUGCAUGUUUGAUUCCACAUGCUGUAUGUGUGGCCAAAAAAGCUAGAAUUCAGGAACAUUUAGUGACCCCUUACGUGUCAAGUAGAGGGAAACAGAACCAAAAUACUAAGGACUUUUUUUUUCUCCUGUAAGUGAUUUAGUAUAAGGAUAAACAUUUGACAUUUCAAUCCUUUAUUUUUUUUUUUAAAGUCAUUCCUAUAGGAUCUUACCAUACCUUGGUUUUAUCACUGUGUUAUCAUUCUUUAGUCUUAUGGUAGGACUGAACUUUUUAAUUUUUGCCAGUUAUCUGGCCAUCCUUUAGCUUAGUCAAAUUAACCGUAUUUAAUUUGUAUUUUGUACCAUAUGUUGUACAAGUUUCAUGUCAUAUAUUAGAAUAUGCUUAACUUUAAAUAUAUGAUGUUAUGUAUUUUCCAUAGAGUUAAAGUGAAAAAUUUAUUUCAGUAACCAAGAAAUUUAUUGUAGUUAUUUGAACUUAUUGGAGAAAUGAAUAAAGGUGUUAAAUACUGGAAAAAUUUAAGCUUACUGGAAUAUUAGUAGUGUGUGAUAGUGUAGAGAAAAGUUUCUUUCAUACUAUAAAACAUAAUAAGAAUAAAUAGUAAUAAUAAAAAUAAUAAAAUUGGCUUUUCCCUACAAACAUAUUCAUUACUUUGUAUCACUAGAAGCAAGUUAAUAAGCAAUCUGUUAGCAGUGGAAAAGGUAUUUGAAUCUAUUUGAAAAGAAAAUUUCUAUAUGCUAUUUGUCCCACUGAAAAUUAUGCUCACUAAAAAUGACCCCGUUUUCAGUAUUUUCCUGAUUUAAAUUUGCUUAAUAGCCAAACUUAAUCUUCUUAUUCACUUAUUCAACACAUACUCAAGUAUAUGCUUUAGGUCUGACACAAUAACCCUUGCCAAAAUGAGCUUACAGUUAACUUGAGGACCUACCGAUUGUGAUAGUUAAUUUUAUCUGUUAAUUUGACAAAGCUAAGGGAUGGCCAGAUAACUGGCAAAAAUUAUUUCUGAGUGUGUCAUUGUGAAUGUUUCUGGAAGAAAUUAGCAUUUGAAUUAGUUGACUAAGUAAAUGCAAGUGGGCAUUUCCAGUCCUUUGAGAGCCUGAAUGGAAUGUAGGAGGGCAAAUUUUCUGCUUAAAUUUAGUAUUUAAAGAAAAAAUUAAUUGAUACAUCCAAGAAACUCAAAAGACUGUAAGUAGUCACAUUAUACAUUGUUGUGAGAUAGACAUUCUUGAAAACAUCAAGAGAAAAAUGACUUUCAGGAUCAAAAGUUACACAAUAAGAUUAAUAGUAGACAUAGAAAAAUAAUGAACUAUUACCACUUUUAUAUGUUUUGUGAUCUAGUCUAGUGCUAUACUUAGGUAAAUUUUUGCAUUAAUCAACAUUUUUAUUUCUUCUACAAUUAUAAUAUUAUUUAAGUGAGAAAAAUAUCCAAUAUAUCAUCUUAGAUAAUAAAAAUUCAUAGGGAGAUAAAGGGUCAUAUUAUGCCCAAGUAGACUGCAGAGUCCAUCGCCCAAAAUAGAAUUAGAUUUUCUCAGUGGCUAAAAGUACACAAUGUCACUUUCUACAAGUUUAAUAGUUAUUCAGUAUAAUCUAUGUUUCCACAUUUUACUUAAUUGCAUUAUCUCUGUAUACAGUGGUCCAAUAAAUGAUUAAAUAGAGCAAAUAAUGAAGCCAUAAAUAUUUGAAAUUAUGACUCAUAAGAAAGCCAUUUGUAAGGAUAAGCACAUAAUAAGUACAUAAAUUACAUAAAGAUUUUGGCAUUUGGCACUUUAAUGUUAAAACUGAGAUCAAAAAUUAAGUUGUAAUUCCUUUUUUUUCCGGGGGGGGGGACUGCCUACGGCAUAAGGAAGUUCCCAGACUAGGAGGCUAGGGGUUGAAUCAGAGCUGCAUCUGCUGGCCUGCCCCAUAGCCUCAGAAUAUCAGAUCCAAGUUGCAUAUGCGACUUACACCACAGCUCACAGCAAUGCCAGAUCCUUAACCUACUGAGAAAGGCCAGGGAUCGAACCCACAUCCUCGUGUAUACUAAUCAAGUUUUUAAUCUGCUGAGCCACAAUGGGAACUCCCCUAAUUCUAAUUCUAAAUACAACAUUGCAUGUUUAGCACUGAUAUACAUAUUAUAAAUGAUCUAGUUAAAUCUAUAACUUUUAUAGAAAAAUUUGAAAUCUUUAAGGGAAAUUUUUUUCUUCCCAAGAAUACAUACAAGCAAACCUGAGCCUAAAUUUCAAGCAGUGUAUUGCUCUAAUGCCAGUCCAGUAAACUUUUUCUAGUGGCAAAAAUUAUUUAAAAACAUUUUAUUUUGUAGCAUAUGAAAUCUCUGACCCAGGAUUAAGUUACAUUUUUUUCUGAUUUUUUUUCUGAGUCUUUCAUGAAGUUUUGGCAACGGCCUUCUGGAAAAGAAAAACUUAAAAAAUUUAUUUUUAUGAUUCUUUUUCUGAGAAAAUGAAAUUGUAUCAUUUUUGUCUUUUCUAACUUAUUACAAAAAUUAGAAGUACAUACUAAUUUUAAAAGUACAAUUAUCUGGGGAGUUCUGUUGUAGCUCAGUGGUAAUGAACCUGACUAGGACAUAUAUGAGGAUGGAGGUUCAAUCCCUGGCCUCACUCAUGCAUUAAAGGAUCCGGCUUUUCUGUGAGUCACAGACUCGGCUCAUGAGCCAUGGCUUAAGCCAUCAGCUGCACCUCCAGUUGGACCCCUAGCCUGGGAACUUCCAUAUGCCUCGGGUGUGGC